AAUGAACGCUGGCGGUAGGCCUAACACAUGCAAGUCGAACGGAAAGACAAUAAGAUUUUGCCUCUACGGGUGGCGAGUGGCGGGUGAGUGAGGCGUAGAUCGCCAACUUAUUUUUCGUGGGUGACUACGUGAGGCAACUUACACUAACAGCUCAUACAUCGUACCGCAUGAAUCAAUAGUGCUUGACGGUUUUGGUGUCUCAUAUAGCUGAUUCCGUGUCGGAUUAGCUAGUUGGUAAGGUAACGGCUUACCAAGGCGACGAUGCGUAGCCGACCUGAGAGGGUGAUCGGCCACACUGGAACUGAGACACGGUCCAGACUCCUACGGGAGGCAGCAGUGGGGAAUCUUCGACAAUGGGCGCAAGCCUGACGGAGCAAUACCGCGUGAGUGAAGAAGGUCUUCGGAUUGUAAAGCUCUGUUGUUGGGAAAGAACAGCAGUAGAUUAAUCCACGGCUGUUCUGACGGUACCCAAAGAGUAAGCACCGGCUAACUUCGUG
rnacentral:rRNA from 1 species